AUAUAGUAAACAGAACCUCUGACGUGCAUUUGUGACUCACAAGAACUGUGUGAAACAAAACUGGAAGACUUUGAGUGCAUGUAAGCAGUUGGCUAUUUUAAAAGCACUUUAUUUUACAGUCCUGUUCCCUGUGUAUAUACUAUAUACUUAUUAAUGUACAGUAAUUACAAUAACUGUACUUGCUUAUAAUCAAUAAAAAGUCAUUACUUUGUUUACAAAAGAAGACAGCACAACUAAAAACUAUAUGUUUUCCAGCAAAACCUAUAGUAAAAGAAUAAGUCUAAACAACAUUGGACAAAUAACUUUAAUUGUACGGACAAACACACAGAGACUUGUAGAACGUUUAUGAUUUUGCAGAAGAAAUCAGAUCUGUUUAAAAUGCUGCCUAUGAGUUUUCAAGAGGAAUGUUCGAAACCUUGACUGGCCUCCAGUCUCUGGUAAAAAGCUGAAAAGCAAUCACAUUCCUCCAUGCAGAAGUGGCAGCCUUUCAACAUAUCCACUUCUGCUGUUACAGCUGUGAAAAUAAGCCCUAAGUCCGAACUCCAGUCGGACCGCGGGCAGUUUUCUCAGGGGUCAGUGGUUAGCUAAGAACGGCUGGGUGCUGGGCUUUGACCUCAUACCCAACAAAGAAAAGAUGGAUGAAAUGACAGAAAACAGCGUGCUGCGGGCGGCCUGCCCAGGUGUUCUCCACAAUGCAGCAUUUGACUGCAUUACAUCCCCUUGACUUCAGAUGACCCCUUUAAGUCUAGGUCAGCUUUUGUUGACUUGGUUCUUGUCACAUUAUGUUUUACUCAUUAAAGUUUGCACGUGUCUUACGUGACCUAUUUGACCACAGUGUGACUUUUAAACAAUGAUUCGCAGGCCUUGUAAAAUGUCCAGCAAAUAUUCUUAGAGCAAAUAACAAAAUGUAAUUUAAUGGCCGUCAAGCAUGACAGAAGUGAGCUAAAUCCAGUGCAUGCAUGUGACCAUUUCACAUACGUGUGAAAUCUGACACUCUGCAAAACCAUAAACAUAAAGCAGAUACAGCGUAUUGAUAUUCUAGGUAUUUGCGUGCUUCUAAUUUUAUGCUAACAGUUUUGUCAGGACCCUUUUCUAUUCUAACAUGUAAAUGCCUCUGUGUAUAAUGCAAAGUAUAGUUUAAAAAAAAAAAAAAAAAAAAAAAAGACACGAUUGAGUCUGUGUGGAAGAACUUGACUGGUCUGCAGAGAGCCAAAUGGUAUGCAGACCUUUAGCCAAAAACUCAUCACCGAACACCAAUGACUUGUACGUAAGCUAUAUGGACAAAAGUAUUAGCACACCCUUUUGUUUAGAAUAGAAAAAGGCACUUCACAAAACUGUGCCAACAAAGAUAAAAACAAUUCGUGCGUCUAAAAAUUGUAUAUUCAUCUCUGUUGCAACAGUUGUGGAAGUGUCUAAAAUGACUGCACCCAUACGUACAAGUCGUCAGUGUUCGGCUCAAGUGGUUUUUGGUGUUUAGCUGGGAUUAGAACUUUGCUUUCUACAGAACAGUUAAGUUCUUUCACACUGGCCUUAUACACUUAGGCAAGGCCAUGUUAGUGGUCUCAUGGCGUAAACGUAAUAAACCUGCCAUAAACUGCAUAAGCGUGGUGCACUUUUUAGCGAGACGCGAAAUACGUACCAAAAAGUACAUAUCACUGCAUUGUCCAAAGGAAGUUAACACUAGAGGGAGUAACACUCAUACACCUUUUGUUUUCACACAAAUUUAGUUUUCGAAAAAGUAAUUUUUGCACAAUUACUUGUAAAAAUGUCAUGUUAUUACUUCAAAACAAUAUUAAUAUGCUGGGAGAUUUGAAAAACGUAUGCUUUUGAAUGUUAGCAUCACACAUAUCCAGCUUCAUAUCUACGGAUUUUUAUAGACGGCAGAUUUGUUCUGUAGCUCAUGGAGUAUGUAGGCGUACUUGUUUAACUACAGUUCAACUUUGAUAUAAAAAUAUAUUAAAUGCAACCAUGCCUUUUCAACUACCUUUUAUUCAGUUUUGCAUUUGGUAACACGGGUAGGUUUAGGGUUGGAUUUGGUGUAGGGCAUAUUUCCAAUACGAUAUUAGCUUUAAGCAACAGUCCCCGAAUAUUUGAAUUUUGAACCAACAUAAUACAUACCCGAAGCAACAAUAAAAACACAGCAUUAUAUACCUAUAUCAAUGUACUAAAAAUAUGCUAGGGUUCAUGUAUUGAAGCUGUGUUUUAACAUUUGAAACUGUGUCGAAACGUGCAGAAAGGUACGUAAAAGCGGUGUAGGUAUAUAUUUUUAUGAGAUCACGUUGCUUUUGGCAAUAUAUUGUAUGCUAUUCAUUUUUUUUUCUUUUUACUUUCAUACAAUAAACUAAAAUAAUAUGGCUUGCCUCAUUAUAUAAAAUCUGAAAUUUGACUCCAGAAGUAAAAAGCCAAAGUUGAAAACGAUGGACCUCAUUUAUCAGCUUCGCACCCUGAUGCAACAACCAUUAGCGGUUGGGUCAUGUAUCGCUGGUAUAAUGGCCUUACAUGGGGUUUGUUUCUUCGUCUGUUUUUAGAUCUAAGUGCGAGGUCUCAGUCACAUGAAUCCUAACAGCGCUUCUGACCUCCCACCAAUCUCAGCUUUGUUCCUUCAACACCCUCUUCUGAUGCCACAGAUAACAACUGUCAUUAUAACGGACGGAUGGCCUUUCUCCAAACUACAGCAGCGCGAAAUAUUUCCAAACGGAGUACACGACCACAACGAAGUGUCAAAAUUUCCCCUUUCUGCUUUUUUCCUUCUAAAAUCCCUAUGGAGAAAAUGAAAGUGUUGCUCCAUCGCAAUCGUCCUCAAGCCAUCGUGAAGACAGUGCCUCAAUCACGCAACAAGCCGCUUCAGGCCUGCAACACCAAAACAAGAUCAGAAGUCCUCGUGCAGUAAUCCAUGCUACCGGCAAACGGCAGAGACACCAGAUGCUAACAUAACUUCAGCUGAAACCUUAAAUGUUAAGACUAUAUUUAUUUCAAGGCCUGAAACAAACCACACAAAAGUGCCCGAAUGCUGAUUUCUGAUCUCACACACCAUUGUAUGUCGUUUGCCAAGGCAAACUUCACUAUUACUAUCCUAAUACUUAAGUAUCUGUUUACCUUAUAGUGGUGUGCAGUUUUUCUACUUUUAUUUCUGCUACAGUUAUGAAAGAUUCCUCAAAUUGUGUGGGUUGUUGUUGGAGAGGUGUGUUGUGUAGUGGUAUUUUUUAAGCACUUUAACUUUGGAUUAUAGAGAGCAGGAUAUCAUAAAGGCUUGGGAUGCAAUCUGUUGAUUUAGGUCAAUAAAUAACCACCUAGGAUCGCCUAGAACACCACAGGAACUGCAUAGCAAUGCGAUGAAACCUCUCGGAACACCAUAGCAACCGAAUAGCAAUGCCCUGGCAACCAGCCACAGCAUCCAUGGCAAUUUUUCAAGCAUCACUUUUUGUCCAGCAAAUGGAACAUCUUUUUGUUUCUAAACGUGUUUUGCGCAAUUCAUAACAUAAUGCGAAUAGAGCAUUUUCUUUUACAGUCAGUAUUCCCCGGUCAAGUACUUUAAUGGCAGAGCGACAGCUUGAAAAGGAUCUUGUAUAAAAAUCGCACAACAAAUAGUGGCACAAGGAAUGCAAACUACUGGCACUCAAAAGAAAAAGAUAUAAAUAACCCUUUUUCUUCUAUUAAAUUAAUUUUAACAUGAACAGUUUUUAUUGGUUAAAUUUAAUGCACUGUGAACUAACACGAAUGAACACUAAACGACUGGAUUUUUAAACUAACAUUAAUAAAGGGUAAUAGAUAAUAAAUGCAGCAAGAAAUUUAUUGUUGAUUUCAUGCAUUUUUGUAAAUGAUCACCAAUAAUAAUAAUAAUACAAUAGUAUUGGUUAUUAAUGGUAUUAAUAGUAAUACUUUUUUAAAACAAACACAUUAAGACAGGGAUUGCAUAAAUAAACAUAUUUGUUACUUUGAAUUCUUAAGCAUGCCAACCACUUUUAACUAUACGACAAAAGCAGCCUGACCUUGUUUUUUUUUUUUUUACUUUGCUUGAUUUGAUUCAUCGCAUAUGAUUGAUUUAAUUGUAUUGCAACCAUGAAGAGUGUCAUCAGGAGUUAUAGGAGUUUUCUUUGCAUGUGCUGUUCCUGACAACAGCCUUCGUAACUAAACUAUUUGUCCUCUAUUGUCGAUCAAGGCUAAAACAACAUCCAUUCGGGUAGAGGUUUCAACAGAGCUCAUCACCUCAAGCCCAAUGACUUGGAUAUAAAGACUUAACACGUUUAUCAUAUUUAUCAAAGAUCAAGCCCGAAUCCAUGAGAAACCCUGAAAGAUCUGAUUUGAAAAACGUGUUCUUCAGUUUACAGCGGUCGAAUGAAUGGGCUGCUCCUGGAGCAUUGUGAAGUUCAUAGCUCUAUUACUGAGCUCACCUUGAGGAAGUAAUAAUGUUGAGGUUCACGACUGAAUUUGACUCUCUUUUGUACUGUUUGGAUGUAUUAUUAAAUACCAGCUCAACAUCUCCCAGCAGCAUCUGUGGCUUGCAGAAAAUAAUUCUGACUCAUCCAGAAAUACUAAGCACAAAUGAAAAACACAUUUAUAGUAAUGUGCAUACAAUAUAAGUUCACAGGGCAAAGUAUUCCGGAGGGUUGAAAGGAGAAAUGUGAAAUUCUUACAUAAAAGCUUGACUAAAAAUGUACUCAAGGUAAUUUAUUAUUAGGAUUAUUCACUUAUAUUUGUUUAAAACAACUAUUUAUUUUUUGUU